CAGUCGCCACGGUAAUACGGAGGGUGCAAGCGUUAAUCGGAAUUACUGGGCGUAAAGUGCACGCAGGCGGUUUGUUAAGUCAGAUGUGAAAUCCCCGAGCUUAACUUGGGAACUGCAUUUGAAACUGGCAAGCUAGAGUCUUGUAGAGGGGGGUAGAAUUCCAGGUGUAGCGGUGAAAUGCGUAGAGAUCUGGAGGAAUACCGGUGGCGAAGGCGGCCCCCUGGACAAAGACUGACGCUCAGGUGCGAAAGCGUGGGGAGCAAACAGGAUUAGAGACCCGUGUAGUCCCUGUCUCUUAUAC
rnacentral:rRNA from 1 species